GGUUGUAGCGAGGCGUGUCGGAGCAGCAGCUGCAGGCGCUCAGAGAGACGCUCGUGUCCCGCUGUGACGUCACAGGAGACGGACUCCUGCAGAUGGAGCAGGUGGCGGCUGCGCUUCUGCCCGAGCAGGAGAACUUCCUGCUGCUGUUCCACCGGGAGACGCCGCUGGACAACAGCGUGGAGUUCAUGAGGAUCUGGCGCUGCUACGACACCGACAGCAGUGGAUACAUCUCUGCCGCCGAGCUGAAGGUGACAUCAAUUCCCGUGUGUGAGAGUGUGUGUGUGAGAGUAUGUGUGUGAGAGUA